AGUGAACGCUGGCGGUAGGCCUAACACAUGCAAGUCGAACGGCAGCACAGUAAGAGCUUGCUCUUACGGGUGGCGAGUGGCGGACGGGUGAGGAAUACAUCGGAAUCUACUUUUUCGUGGGGGAUAACGUAGGGAAACUUACGCUAAUACCGCAUACGACCUACGGGUGAAAGCAGGGGAUCUUCGGACCUUGCGCGAUUGAAUGAGCCGAUGUCGGAUUAGCUAGUUGGCGGGGUAAAGGCCCACCAAGGCGACGAUCCGUAGCUGGUCUGAGAGGAUGAUCAGCCACACUGGAACUAAGACACGGUCCAGACGCCUACGGGAGGCAGCAGUGGGGAAUAUUGGACAAUGGGCGCAAGCCUGAUCCAGCCAUACCGCGUGGGUGAAGAAGGCCUUCGGGUUGUAAAGCCCUUUUGUUGGGAAAGAAAAGCAGCAGGUUAAUACCCCGCUGUUCUGACGGUACCCAAAGAAUAAGCACCGGCUAACUUCGUG
rnacentral:rRNA from 1 species